rnacentral:lncRNA from 1 species
GAAAAGAAGAGAUACAUAUACAGAGUUGGCUUACACUCGCCACAAGCUACAUCAGAGUCACAUCAGUACGUUGCAUAAUCAUCAAGAGUAAGAGCAGGGUCCGACUACGGACAAAAACAAACGAGAAAAAUAAGAACGACGUCCAUCCUUGCUAUCCCAGGCUGCCGGCCUGGAACCCAUCCUAGAUCGAUGAAGAAGAAGGAGAAGAAGAAGCAACUCCAAAUGUACAACCAACGC